ACGGAAUUCCCGUUCCCACCUUGGAACGGGAGAUGAAGAGGAAGGUCUUGGAUCAUCCCAGAAAAAAAAACGGGAUCAUCUCCAGGAGAGCGCCCAACGCCACCCACCCCCCUUCCCAAGCCGCCAUUUUGUCACCCCAAAAUGGAAUUUUCCCGGGAUUUUUCUGCCCCUUUCCCACGGAAUUCCCGCUCCCACCUUGGAACAGGAGAUGAAGAGGAAACUCUGGGAUCAUCCCAGAAAAAAAAACAGGAUCAGCUCCAGGAUCACCUCCAGGAGAGCGCCAACCACCCCCCUUCCCAAGCCGCCAUUUUGUCACCCCAAAAUGGAAUUUUCCCGGGAUUUUUCCGCCCCUUUCCCACGGAAUUCCCGCUCCCACCUUGGAACGGGAGAUGAAGAGGAAGCAGCCGGCCAGGAGCAGCCCCUGGAGCGUGGCCUGGAGGUCGCUGAACUUGACCCCCUGCAGGAAGAGCACGCUCUGGCUGUAGGCCAGCACCAGCGCGUUCAGCGCCAGGAUCUUGAACAUCUGCAGCGUGGUCACCAGCGUGCAGCGGCCCUGCUUGAUCACGUGGCAAACUGCGGGGGAAAAAACGGGAAAAAACGGGAAUUCCGGGAAUUUACGGGGUUCUGGGAAGCAGGGGGAAGGAG
rnacentral:lncRNA from 1 species